CACAUGUCAAGGGAACCCCUGAGAAGUCCUUAUAGCACAUACCAUAGGAAUGUGGUGAUGCAUGCUACUUUCUUCUCAUCAUCAGGACUACCCCUCUAGGAAUGGUCUCCACCAAGUAGUUUGCUGUUCUUCCAUGCUUCAGCUCCAGGAUCCUAUCUAGCUUGAUGUGUCAUUGAAAACCUUUGAUCAAUGAUAAUCAGACCAGGGCUUGCGACCCAUAAGCAACUCUUCAAUAUAUUACCUGCAGUUCCUUGUAGAAAAGGUAAUGUGAAUUACUCAAUAGCUGGACACACCAAAGCAUUCAGAAAUAUACAUCUCAGCCAUAUCCUGAGGACUAGUUCCCUGUGGAUUUCACUACUGUGGGUUAAGUGCUGUCACCUCUCAGCAGAGUGAGGUAUAAACACAGGUCAGCCUCAAGCAGCAUGUGAUGUUUGUAGUAUGUGUCUAAAGAAGAAACACCAUCUUCCCCUAAAAAGGCCCAAUCCUGCAAGAUGUUGAGCUUCCUCACCUUCCAUUGACAUGAACAGAGGCUGAAAGGCAUAUAUAUCGUCUUGCAGUGGUUGACCUGAAAAAAUGCUUAUGAUCACAGAUCUUCCAAUACGUAACUGUAAUUAUUUGGAAGGGGAAGAAAUGGUGCAAACAGAAGGCAUUGUGUCCUAUGGCCAGCAUCCUUUUUCUAGGCCUGAUAGUAACUACAGGAUAAGCAUUUUUCCAGCAACUACACCAAGGUUAAUUUGUGGAACUGGAGUGAAAGAUGAGAAAUUCAGUCAUCAGUGGGCCCUUUUUCAUUGGAAUAUCCCUGGAAGUGUCCAACAGUGGCUGGGUAUUAAGCAGUGGCAAAACCACUGAGUUCACACCAGUAAGGCUUUACAGGACUGGCACUAGGUAUGGCAAAGACACUUCCAAAGGAGCAGGGCGAUAAAAGUUACUGGCCUUGAUCCUACCAUUGUCCUCAUUUCAGGCAAGAGUACAGUCAUCAGAGGGAAUUUUGCCUGCCUCAGGGCUUGAAGGUCAGCCCCAUUGUGUUUGUACAACAUGCCUAGUUUAAACAUUGACCCACACAUUCUGAAAGCAUUGAACAGAGGUUUCCUGAACAAGAAUCACUGACGUUAAGGGAGUCCCCGAGCAACCCUUUAAGAAAAUACAUGUCAGAGUUGAAGCUCUUGCUUCGUUCUUGACUGUUCCUAGGCAUUGAAGCACAUAUGAUAUGCAACAUCUGGCACUCUUCUAAGCCCCUAACAGCACUCUGAAUAGACACAGUAAGAGAUAAGAGUGAGAGGUUUAUUUAACUGU